rnacentral:rRNA from 1 species
CCUACGGGUGGCAGCAGUGAGGAAUAUUGGUCAAUGGACGAGAGUCUGAACCAGCCAAGUAGCGUGAAGGAUGACUGCCCUAUGGGUUGUAAACUUCUUUUAUAUGGGAAUAAAAUGUUCCACGUGUGGGAUUUUGUAUGUACCAUAUGAAUAAGGAUCGGCUAACUCCGUGCCAGCAGCCGCGGUAAUACGGAGGAUCCGAGCGUUAUCCGGAUUUAUUGGGUUUAAAGGGAGCGUAGGUGGAAUGUUAAGUCAGUUGUGAAAGUUUGCGGCUCAACCGUAAAAUUGCAGUGGAAACUGGCAGUCUAGAGUACAGUAGCGGUGAGCGGAAUGCCUGGUGUAGCGGUGAAAUGCUUAGAUAUCAGGAGGAACUCCGGUGGCGAAGGCAGAUCACUGGACUGUAACUGACAUUGAGGCUCGAAAGUGUGGGUAUCAAACAGGAUUAGAUACCCGGGUAGUC